CGUUUAACUAGUUUAGUUGCUUUAGUUGUUUCUCGAAUUUCUCGAUUAAAAGAGAGCACUCGCACCCACACUCAGUGCAGCAACCGAGCUCAGUGUAGACGGGGCAGUUGGCAAUUUAUGUACAUAAAUUCAUUACCUUUAAAAUCUUUAAUGUACCAACACCAACCAAGUUUUAUAUAAGUAGAAAUAUUCUUUCCUGGCAGCCAAGAACGUCAACCUUAAAUUUCCAUUCGCCGUCCAGUGUGUCCAGUUCAGAAGCAACCGACACUAAAGACAGUAGACGUGGUGAAAAAUGGAGGACCUGAGGGACUACUGGGUGGAAUAUGCACUGCGACCACCUGACUCUGCUGACGAACCGCUCAGUCUGCAGGACAGCUCUCAAACUUGGGAGGAAGGUGAACAAGAAGAAGCAUGGUUGCUGGAAGCAGGUCUAGCGCACUUAACAGGCCCCUGGAAGGCUGGCCGAGAGUUGUGGGGUGCUGAAUUAUCGGAUGCCUUAAGCAGUCUUCCGCCUCACCAGGUGGAUGCUGUGCGGCGGCGCGUUGACAGUUUGAACCACACAAUAGUUCGACGGCGGUCGCGUCCUGGCCGCUCAGCACGUAACACCCCUCACAUCAAGGACGUGUUUUCGUCGCCUCCGUCACAUUCCCUACAGGCCAGCCAGUCCCAGCACAUGUCCCUGCCUGUGAUGGUGUCAUCAAGACCCCCAGCCAGAAGAGUUUUCUCAACCACAGCAUCGACUGAUUUUCCAGACACCACUGCAAGGUUUGACCUGUUUGGCGGAAUGCAGACUGGAGAAGUUGCUGGAGACACUGAUGGAGUUCUUAUGCUUGGCUACCAUCACAUUGGAACAAUCAGCAAACCCAGAUCAAGGGAAAAGCGAAGUGGAAGUGAUCCCACUUCGGAGUGCGGCAGUUUGAGAGUUAAAGGUGGUGAUUUUGAUGCUUGUGUGUCCGUGACCACACAGGAAAGUAGUCAAGCUUUUGAUUCAAUCCUUCCAAUCAGAAGAGCAUCAUCGCAGGGCCAUUUAGCCUCAGAGGAAGCAAAAUUGGACAUUGAAGCUGAGUGGUUGAAGUGGUCAUUUGUGAUUUCAAGCGCUGAGGAAGAAAAGGUCGUAGAAGAACGACUUGGCCAGACAUACUUUGAUGGUUUGGGAGAAGAGGACAGAAAGAGACUAAGGCCACUUUUGCUUUUAGAAGUAACCCCGUUGCUUGAUCUCUGUGGAGCUCCUGGAUUAAAGUUGAAACUCAACAAGAAGAAACGUAAAGAUGAUCUCGGCUUUAAUUCUGCUGUAUUUGGUGUUCCCUUGGCAACCCUCCUGGAGAGAGAUAGUAGACUGCCUGGUUGUGAAGACUUAAAAAUUCCUUUCAUUUUUCAAAAGCUCCUUCAACUUUUGGAGAGAGAGUCAUGUCUGCAAGAGGAGGGACUGCUGAGGGUAGCUGGCAGUAGGGUCAGGAUGGAAGUGGCAGCUGCAGCUCUGCAGUCCAAUCUGUAUGGCCCAAACAGAGAGGAAAAAGCUAUCAGAGCCCUAGAUGCACUCGGCCCUCAUGACUUAGGUGCUCUUCUAAAAAAGCUUCUCAGGGAGCUGCCGCAGCCCUUGCUAACUGCUCCCCUACUAGAUUCAUUUUACCACUGUCAUUCCCUUACGAAUCCUGCCGACAAGGAAAAGGCACUACGGCUUUUGAGCCUUUUGUUACCUCCAGCUGAGCGACACGUUUUGCAAGCGUUGCUCGAAUUUUUGGCACAAGUCGCUGAAAGGGAGAUGUAUAACAAAAUGACUCUCAACAAUGUGGCCAUGAUUUUUGCUCCCAACUUGUUCCCUCCUACGUGGCUUCAGAAGUUUUCCCCCGCUGGUGAUCAAGAGGGUUAUUUGAAUCAGCAGGUGCAAGUAGCAGCCGAGAGCUGCCGUCUUGUUGAGUUCAUGGUGCGCAAGCGAGAUGCGCUUUCGAGUGUGCCACCGUCCUUAGUGCGCCAACUGAGGCAGCAGUACGAGUCGGAGAGAUACCAGUGCGCAUCUCAGCAUUUAAUGGAAAACAAAAAACAUAUGAGAAAAUUACUAGGUCGCAGACCGCUGCUCAAAGAAUCAAUAGUGAGAGUUGUUGACAACGAAGUUGACUUCCAGGAGGGCGUUCUAAGGGUUAAUGCGCCACAGUUUCGUUUUCGGGAAUAUCCUAUUCAAUUGGUUGAAGCUACCACUGCUGGCAACAUUAUUUUAGAGUUAGUUAGCGAAGCAAAUUCUCAACCAGAAGAGCCUCCGGGUUCAGCAAACCAGCAACUCAAGUUGCGAAGACAGGACGGAAGAAACAGGGCUCUCUGUGAGCUGGCACCAAACGGAAACCUGAGCUGCCUCUUGGCCUCAGCUGACUCUGAAACAGCACUUAAGACACAUUUUUUAUAUGAACACGGGGGAAAUAUUGGUAUAAAAUGUCUUGCAAUAAUUUUAUUUAAUAAAAAAAUAAAUAAAUUGGGUGGUGCCUUCUGCACCACCAAUAAAGGGCACAGGCCGACAAGACUAGUCUUGGCCUGACCCUAAAAAAAAAACAUUCAUUUCACUUCCAAAUGAAAAAAUUAUUCAACAAGAACUACUUUGCACUUUUAGGGAUUGAAUUGCAAAACAGCACGACAUACCACGGACUCGUAGUCAGAUGUUUUAUAUUUUUUCAGAUUCAGAAUUAUUUUUAUUUCGACAACUUUUAAAAUACGUCAUUCACAUAUUUAUAACAAUUUACAAAUCAAAUUUACAACUGAAAAACUCGUUCAUGUCAUAAUACUGAUAUACAAUUUAUCUUAUUUUGCAAAUAAACUCGUUACUUUCCAUAGUCAUUUUUACACUAACAGGUAAAGAGUUGAAUACUCUUGCAAUCAAACUACAGGAUUUUGGUUUAAAAUAUCCAAAAUCCUGUAGUUAAGAAUAUUCAACUCUUUACCUGUUAGUGUAAAAAUGACUAUGGAAAAGUAAUUAUGCUGUUUUGCAAUUCAGCCUCUGAAAGUGUGAAAUAGUUAUUUUUGAUUAUCAGGAGAGUGAUCCUUUCUGAAUUACAUUCAAUUCACCUAUAUAAUUCUCACAACAGGCCAAAGACAAAUUCCGCAAUCAGCGAAGAUGUUGUGCGUCUACAGGGAGAACCCAAAUGCUCAAUGGAUCGUAGUGUGCCAUCACAGGAACGCGAGAUCUUCACUUGAAUCAUAGUUACUUGAAACAAAAGUAGAUUAUGCAAAAUUAAAUUAGUGAAGGAAUUUAUAUUUUUGAGAAUUUAAAACCCAAAGAAACCACUGGAAACCGACUGGAAACAGGAAAUAAUUAAAUUAGUACUAAUCGCCUUGACGUGGAAUUACGUUCCGAGACGCGAGAUAUUUGAGACAAAGCCGGUGUAAAAAAGUUAGAAAAUUCCUGUUGUGAUAACCAUUUUAAUUGAGGGCGAAAGAAUUUUAAUUUUGGGAAAGUAAAAUUGUUUAUUGUCACAACAUGAAUGUUCCAACUUUUUUUACACCAGCUUUGUCUCAAAUAUCCCGCGUCUCGGAUCGUAAUUCCACGUCAAGGCGAUUAGUCACAAGUACUAAUUUAAUCAAUAUACUUAUUAAAAAAAAAAUUGCAUUGUAUGACUUAUUUUUACAAUCUUUGUAUUUCAUUUGUCUAAACAAUUGACGAUCAUGCAACCGACAGCACCUAGCAUGUUUAAAAAUAUGUGCAAUAAAUGUUUGUGGUUGCAGUAUCAAAUUUCAAUAAUGACUGGAUUUCCCACAAAUAAAUAAUUUAUUUUUCUCUAUAUA